UUCCGCUGGGGAUGUUUAUUUAUUUAUUUAUUUAUUUGACUAAUGUUUUACGCCGCACACAAGAAUAUUUCUCUUAUACGACGGGGGCUGCAAUAUUAUGGUGGGAGGAAACCGGGCAAGUGCCAGUGGAACCCACAACCAUCCACAGUCUGAUGGAAGACCUUCCCACAUACAAGCGGAGAGGAAGACAGCAUAGGCUGGACUUGAAUUUACAGAAACCGCGUUGUGAGAUCCCCUGGGUCAUUGCGUCGCGCUGGCACACUAUCCACCUCGGCCAUAUAGACCCCGAGAUGUUACAAAACUUAGGUCCAGUGAUGCCUUGAUUGUGUGCAGAGACAGAUGAAGACAUAGUUUUAUUGACAGUUCGGAGGAUAUCUUAUCUAACCGACUGCUCAAACUGAACCAAUCCGAUCUUCAGUCUCUAACUGAGAGCCGUAGUGGAGUGUUGCGCUUAAAACCUCGCAAGAUCAUUCUCUUCAAUUUAGUGUGACAACCAAGGGCAAUCAGG